AGGUCGUGGUGACCUGCGGAGGAUCAUUAACGAAUUUAAAUCUAUGAUGGAUAAGAGAGGAUAGAGAGAUUGUGCUGGCCAUUUGAUUUUCAGAUGGCAUGUGCACAUCCCCUCGUCUUCUUUCGUCUGUCAUAUAAACCCUACACCUGUGCACCAAUUGUAGAUCUUCCGAUGUCGACGUCGAUGGAAGUCCUUGAUCUUGUCAAGCUUAGUUACUAGGCAGUCUUUCGAGAGAAAGGUUGGCGAACGCAAGCAGGAAAAAGAAAGAGAAAAAGGAUGAAAGUCAAUGUCGACGUAGAGGAUAGAAUCAAGGUUGAUGUUGAUGGAAGUCCAGUUAGCUUAGUUACUAGGCAGCCUUUCGAAAGAGAGGCUGGCGAAAGCAAGCCGGAUCGGACACAAGUUAAUAUUGACGUCGAUGAUAUCAGGGAUCUAUGUUUUCAUCAUCACACACCAUCGUAUGGCCAGAAUGUUUAUUAAAUAUAAAUAUAAAAAAAAAUACAACUUUCAGCAAUGGAUCUCUUGGUUCUCGCAUCGAUGAAGAACGCAGCGAAUUGCGAUAAGUAAUGUGAAUUGCAGAUUUCCAGUGAAUCAUCGAAUCUUUGAACGCAUCUUGCGCUCCUUGGUAUUCCGAGGAGCAUGCCUGUUUGAGUGUCAUUUAAUUAUCAACCGUCAUUCUUUAGGGAAUGAUGGCUUGGAGUUGGGGGUUGCUGGCGUCGUGAGUCGUCAGCUCUCCUUAAAAGCAUUAGCGAUCGUCUUUUCGACAUGCACGGCCAUUGACGUGAUAAUGAUCGUCGUGGCUGGAGUGUCAUUUCCUAGAAUAGAUCGCUUCUAACAGAAGAGAUCCCUUGUCCUCGAUCUUUAUUACUAGGCAGUCUUUGAAAAGAGGCUGGUGAACACAAGCGAGAGGGAAGGGAUCGAAGUCGAUAUCGAAUGUAAAUCCUUGAUCAGCUUAGUUACUAGGCAGUCUUGAGCUGGCGAACACAAGCGAGAGAAAGGAUGGAAGUCGAUGCGGUAAUGACUUGACCUCAAAUCACGUAGGACUACCCGCUGAACUUAAGCAUAUCAAUAAGCCG
rnacentral:rRNA from 1 species